rnacentral:rRNA from 1 species
UGGCUCAGAUUGAACGCUGGCGGCAGGCCUAACACAUGCAAGUCGAACGGUAACAGGAAGCAGCUUGCUGCUUUGCUGACGAGUGGCGGACGGGUGAGUAAUGUCUGGGAAACUGCCUGAUGGAGGGGGAUAACUACUGGAAACGGUAGCUAAUACCGCAUAACGUCGCAAGACCAAAGAGGGGGACCUUAGGGCCUCUUGCCAUCGGAUGUGCCCAGAUGGGAUUAGCUAGUAGGUGGGGUAACGGCUCACCUAGGCGACGAUCCCUAGCUGGUCUGAGAGGAUGACCAGCCACACUGGAACUGAGACACGGUCCAGACUCCUACGGGAGGCAGCAGUGGGGAAUAUUGCACAAUGGGCGCAAGCCUGAUGCAGCCAUGCCGCGUGUAUGAAGAAGGCCUUCGGGUUGUAAAGUACUUUCAGCGGGGAGGAAGGGAGUAAAGUUAAUACCUUUGCUCAUUGACGUUACCCGCAGAAGAAGCGCCGGCUAACUCCGUGCCAGCAGCCGCGGUAAUACGGAGGGUGCAAGCGUUAAUCGGAAUUACUGGGCGUAAAGCGCACGCAGGCGGUUUGUUAAGUCAGAUGUGAAAUCCCCGGGCUCAACCUGGGAACUGCAUCUGAUACUGGCAAGCUUGAGUCUCGUAGAGGGGGGUAGAAUUCCAGGUGUAGCGGUGAAAUGCGUAGAGAUCUGGAGGAAUACCGGUGGCGAAGGCGGCCCCCUGGACGAAGACUGACGCUCAGGUGCGAAAGCGUGGGGAGCAAACAGGAUUAGAUACCCUGGUAGUCCACGCCGUAAACGAUGUCGACUUGGAGGUUGUGCCCUUGUGGCGUGGCUUCCGGAGCUAACGCGUUAAGUCGACCGCCUGGGGAGUACGGCCGCAAGGUUAAAACUCAAAUGAAUUGACGGGGGCCCGCACAAGCGGUGGAGCAUGUGGUUUAAUUCGAUGCAACGCGAAGAACCUUACCUGGUCUUGACAUCCACGGAAGUUUUCAGAGAUGAGAAUGUGCCUUCGGGAACCGUGAGACAGGUGCUGCAUGGCUGUCGUCAGCUCGUGUUGUGAAAUGUUGGGUUAAGUCCCGCAACGAGCGCAACCCUUAUCCUUUGUUGCCAGCGGUCCGGCCGGGAACUCAAAGGAGACUGCCAGUGAUAAACUGGAGGAAGGUGGGGAUGACGUCAAGUCAUCAUGGCCCUUACGACCAGGGCUACACACGUGCUACAAUGGCGCAUACAAAGAGAAGCGACCUCGCGAGAGCAAGCGGACCUCAUAAAGUGCGUCGUAGUCCGGAUUGGAGUCUGCAACUCGACUCCAUGAAGUCGGAAUCGCUAGUAAUCGUGGAUCAGAAUGCCACGGUGAAUACGUUCCCGGGCCUUGUACACACCGCCCGUCACACCAUGGGAGUGGGUUGCAAAAGAAGUAGGUAGCUUAACCUUCGGGAGGGCGCUUACCACUUUGUGAUUCAUGACUGGGGUGAAGUCGUAACAAGGUAACC